UUUAUUUAUUAAAGGCAUAUUGCAAUUCAAAGUAAUAAAUAAGGGUUGUGGUACCAUUUUUAUUUAUUGUUAGUUCAACAAAAAUUAAUGAUUUUAGCGAAUAUCACAUAAAGAAUAAUAUUUACCUCCUAAAAAUAUGAAAAGUGUAAAAGUAAUGAAUAAAUUAUGUCUUUGUAAUUAUAAACAUCCAGUUUAACAGUGAAAAGUGAAUUGUUACAAGAUAUGGAUGGAAUAAGGCAUUUUUUUUCAAAAGAACGUAAUAUAAAAAAUGAGUCCACAAAAGAAGAUAGUGUUAUAAAAACGGACAUAGAAGAUAGUAUAUUUGAACAGGAAAUUGGGCUUAAUAACGAGACUUGGCGUGAUGGGGAAGAUAAUGUAGAAAAUGAACUAUUAAAUUUAAGUGAUUUAAAAAAAGAAACCACUAUUAACCAAGGAGCAAAGGUUAUUUUUAAAGAUAAUGUUGAACUAUCUGAUGAGGCAUGGUGCUUUCCUGGUAAAGAAGAUGAUAAACAAAACGAGCUUUUACAUUUAACUGAUAUAGAAGAAGUCAUGGUAAAAAAAGAGGUAGACGAUAAUAUUUUUGAAGUUCCAAAUUUGAAUACAGAAACCAAGACAAAGUUUAAAUGUGAUAUUUGUCAUAUAACUGUUACUCACAAAUCAUACUUGGAAAACUAUUCAAGAACAUGCACAGAAGAAAAACAACUCAAAUGUGAAACCUGUGAACAGAGAUUUUCUCAAAAUACUCAAAGUUCACAGGAGAUAGGUGAUAUUGUUAUUGAAACUCAUAAUGAGCAAAAUCCAUUAAAUCAAAGGCACACUGUAUCAGUCAGAGUGGACAAUAAGGAUGUUCUAAAAAAGGCGCGCCAACAAAGAUAUCGUGAAAGGCACCGUGAAGAAAAGCGUAAAGGAGAACAACACAUCUCAACAGAACAUAUUACUGAAGUAACACCAGAUGAUCAUGGAUAAUGGGUUUUCUCGGUUAACAUAUAACGAGAAAAUUGCAGUAAAAAAUCUUAAACGACCAAUGCCUAUGUUAAAUUUGGAAAAUAAACAAUCUGUUAAAGGUAAAGGCAUUGUAAGAAAAUUCAAACUUGAUAUUUAUCAGAAAAAUGACUGGAUUUGUGGAUGCGACGUUAAAAAUGCUUUAUUUUGCUUUCCGUGUCUUCUUUUUGGUGGUGAACCAUCUUGGUCGAAAAACGGUAUAAGAGAUUUAGUGCAUCUUAGUGCUAAAAUCAGCAAACAUGAAAAUUCCGAAGGGCAUUUGAAUAAUGCUUUUGAUCUAAGAAUGUUAGGAAAAAACAUUCAAAAUGUUUUGGAUUCAUCGUAUAGAAGAGCAGUUCAAAACCAUAAUGAAGAGGUAACAAAAAAUAGGCAUGUUUUAAAUUUAAUAAUAAAUUGCAUCAGAUUUUGCGGCGCGUUUGAACUAGCGCUACGGAGUCCUAACGAACGGCAAACAUCGAACAGCAAGGGAAUUUUUAGAGAAUUAAUAAAUUUUACAGGAGAAUUGGAUAAAUCACUCAGGGAUCACAUCGAAGCAGCACCGGUUUUUAAGGGAUUGUCAAAAACAAUACAGAAUGAGCUGCUUGACGCAAUGUUGAACGUGUAUCAUGAACAAGUUGUCAAUGAAAUUAGAACAACCGACUAUGUAGCUGUGAUUAUCAGUGUAAUAGCUGAUGAAACCACGGAUGUUUCCAAUCAGUUUCAGUUGGUGUUUGUUUUAAGAUACAUAGUGAAUGGGAGACCAGUCGAAAGAUUUUGGAAAUUUCUUCAGCCUAGUGGACAUGAUGCUACUUCAUUAUCUGCCUGUAUCCUUAACGAAAUGAAUUUACUUAUUAAUGAUCCAAAAAAACUUAUUGCGCAGAGCUAUGAUGGAACAGCAGUCAUGAGUGGUGCAAUUAACGGCGUACAAGGACACGUCCAAGACCAGUAUCCAAUGGCUAAUUUUGUACAUUGUUAUUCACAUCAGACGAAUUUAAUUAUGUCACAAGCUACAUCAAGCAAUAGUAACUGCAAAAUUUUUUUUGCCAAUCUGACAGGAUUAUGUACUUUUUUUUCUACUUCGCCGCAACGAGCAGCAAGAUUGGAAGAAUUUCUUCACAAAAAAGGCUUAUCUCGUACUUCAAAAAUAAAAUGGAAUUUCAAUUCUAAGAUGGUAAAUACUGUGUAUAUCCACCGAGAAGAGUUAAUUGAAGCUCUAGAAGAAAUUGAAAGAGAGGCAAAUUUACAAACUACCAUUCAGCAGGCGGGUGCUCAUUUGCGAAUUUUAGAAGAUGAGAAUUUUAUCUAUUGGUUAACAUUCUUUCAUAAAAUUAUGCCACAUGUGGACAUAUUGUUUAAUAAAUUGCAAAAAGCCACUACAAAUGCAUUAAAAAUCAAGAAUAAUUUAGAUGAUUUUGAACGUGCCAUUAAAAAAAUUCGAACCGAAAUCGCUGACACAGAUAAUCAGUUCGUUGAACAAAAUGACUCAGAACUAAACCCUCGGCCAUCAAAGCGGCGAAGAGUGAACGGAAGUGAAAGAAGGAGAGAAGCUAUUGAAGUGUGUGAUAUUAUUUUAUUAGAAAUAAAAACUAGAUUUCAGUUUACAGGGCACUUAAUAUUAUCAAACUUAGUUUCUUUUAAACAGUUCUCCUCAUUUGAAAAAAGGUUCCCGGAAGAUUGCCUCAAAGAAGCAGUAAAAUUUUAUCCAUGUCUCAAUGAAAGCAGGCUACGAAUUGAAUUAAGCGUUCUAUAUUCUAGAGAAGAAUUUAGACAAAAUUCAGAAACCAGUGCUGUAGGUCUACUGGGUCUUCUACUGGAUGGUUUAAGCAACACUUUCUAUGAAGUCAUAAAGCUUUUAAAAAUUAUCAUUACAAUCCCAAUGACAACGUCCGAAACGGAACGCCAAUUUUCUCAGCUGAAAAGAAUAAAAACUUUCCUCAGAAAUACAAUGAAAGAAGACAGAUUAAAUGCUCUCACUAUGUUAUCAUGUGAAAAAGAAUUUAUAAAUGACUUCCAAAACUUUAAUGAAAAAGUGAUAGAACUGUUCUGUAAGUCAAACCCCGGGUUUAACUUUUCAGUAGCGGCUCUCUAAUAAAAGCAAGUGAAAGAUAAAAGUAAACCUAAGUAGCUCUUAUUACGUAUUUUUGGUUUACCAGUCGUUUAGGUCGGCCAAUGGGCACUCGGCGGCCGCCCCAACUCGGAUGAGCACAGACAGAUCAUUAAUCCGUUAAGCCUUUAACAUUACACCGAGGGUGGGUUUGUUUUGAGAAUAUAAUUUCGAAAACAAUUUUGAAAUUAUGCACUGUAAUUAGACUCUUUGUGAAAUAUCCCGAGCCGCCACUUUCAAUUUCAAAUGUAUAUUUAUUGGUAAAUGUUAUUAUUUAAAACCAAAAUUGUAACAUUAGAGUGGAUAAUAAGUGCAGUACAGAAAAAUGCAACGCAAGCAAUACAACAAAUUAAUGAAACAACACCAAAUGACCAGUUAUAGGUGGUUUAAAGCAUCAAGUUUUAUCAAAAAUCCGACCUGCCCAGACACUUGGGUCCAUACAGGAAUGUAUGAGUGUCAUGUGUGUCAGAAGAGUAUUCAUUUGAGGAGAUAAUCUCUAAUAAAAAAAUUAUUUACGAAGGUUUUUGUAGAAUCUGUAAAAAGCAUACACUUGUACUUUAUAUGCAAAAUUUUAUACAGUAUGUACAUGUACCUACACAUGUAAAAAUAUAUUUUUAAGAACUGA
rnacentral:misc_RNA from 1 species